GAUGAACGCUGGCGGCGUGCCUAAUACAUGCAAGUCGAGCGAACAGACGAGGAGCUUGCUCCUCUGACGUUAGCGGCGGACGGGUGAGUAACACGUGGAUAACCUACCUAUAAGACUGGGAUAACUUCGGGAAACCGGAGCUAAUACCGGAUAAUAUAUUGAACCGCAUGGUUCAAUAGUUAAAGACGGUUUUGCUGUCACUUAUAGAUGGAUCCUCGCCGCAUUAGCUAGUUGGUAAGGUAACGGCUUACCAAGGCGACGAUGCGUAGCCGACCUGAGAGGGUGAUCGGCCACACGGGAACUGAGACACGGUCCAGACUCCUACGGGAGGCAGCAGUAGGGAAUCUUCCGCAAUGGGCGAAAGCCUGACGGAGCAACGCCGCGUGAGUGAUGAAGGUCUUCGGAUCGUAAAACUCUGUUAUUAGGGAAGAACAAAUGUGUAAGUAACUAUGCACGUCUUGACGGUACCUAAUCAGAAAGCCACGGCUAACUACGUG
rnacentral:rRNA from 1 species